UCCCGGUUGAUCCUGCCGGAGGCCACUGCUAUGGGGGUCCGACUAAGCCAUGCGAGUCAUGGGGUCCCUUCGGGGACACCGGCGGACGGCUCAGUAACACGUCGGUAACCUACCCUCGGGAGGGGGAUAACCCCGGGAAACUGGGGCUAAUCCCCCAUAGGCCUGGGGUACUGGAAGGUCCCCAGGCCGAAAGGGGCUUUUGCCCGCCCGAGGAUGGGCCGGCGGCCGAUUAGGUAGUUGGUGGGGUAACGGCCCACCAAGCCGAAGAUCGGUACGGGCCAUGAGAGUGGGAGCCCGGAGAUGGACACUGAGACACGGGUCCAGGCCCUACGGGGCGCAGCAGGCGCGAAACCUCCGCAAUGCGGGAAACCGCGACGGGGGGACCCCCAGUGCCGUGGCACAGCCACGGCUUUUCCGGAGUGUAAAAAGCUCCGGGAAUAAGGGCUGGGCAAGGCCGGUGGCAGCCGCCGCGGUAAUACCGGCGGCCCAAGUGGUGGCCGCUAUUAUUGGGCCUAAAGCGUCCGUAGCCGGGCCCGUAAGUCCCUGGCGAAAUCCCACGGCUCAACCGUGGGGCUUGCUGGGGAUACUGCGGGCCUUGGGACCGGGAGAGGCCGGGGGUACCCCUGGGGUAGGGGUGAAAUCCUAUAAUCCCAGGGGGACCGCCAGUGGCGAAGGCGCCCGGCUGGAACGGUC
rnacentral:rRNA from 1 species